CAGUCGCCGCGGGAAUACAGAGGGUGCGAGCGUUAAUCGGAUUUACUGGGCGUAAAGCGUGCGUAGGCGGCUUUUUAAGUCGGAUGUGAAAUCCCUGAGCUUAACUUAGGAAUUGCAUUCGAUACUGGGAAGCUAGAGUAUGGGAGAGGAUGGUAGAAUUCCAGGUGUAGCGGUGAAAUGCGUAGAGAUCUGGAGGAAUACCGAUGGCGAAGGCAGCCAUCUGGCCUAAUACUGACGCUGAGGUACGAAAGCAUGGGGAGCAAACAGGAUUAGAUACCCCCGUAGUCCCUGUCUUUAUACA
rnacentral:rRNA from 1 species